UACGGGGGGAGCAAGCGUUGUUCGGAUUUACUGGGCGUAAAGGCGCGUAGGCGGCCAGCACAAGUCAGUUGUGAAAUCUCCGAGCUUAACUCGGAAAGGUCAACUGAUACUGUGCGGCUAGAGUGCGGAAGGGGCAACUGGAAUUCUUGGUGUAGCGGUGAAAUGCGUAGAUAUCAAGAGGAACACCUGCGGCGAAGGCGGGUUGCUGGGCCGACACUGACGCUGAGGCGCGAAAGCCAGGGGAGCGAACGGG
rnacentral:rRNA from 1 species